GACGAACGCUGGCGGCGUGCUUAACACAUGCAAGUCGUACGGUAAGGCCCUUUCGGGGGUACACGAGUGGCGAACGGGUGAGUAACACGUGAGUAACCUGCCCACAACUUUGGGAUAACGCUAGGAAACUGGUGCUAAUACUGGAUAUGUGCUCCUGCUGCAUGGUGGGGGUUGGAAAGCUCCGGCGGUUGUGGAUGGACUCGCGGCCUAUCAGCUUGUUGGUGGGGUAGUGGCCUACCAAGGCGGCGACGGGUAGCCGGCCUGAGAGGGUGACCGGCCACAUUGGGACUGAGAUACGGCCCAGACUCCUACGGGAGGCAGCAGUGGGGAAUAUUGCACAAUGGGCGCAAGCCUGAUGCAACAACGCCGCGUGCGGGAUGACGGCCUUCGGGUUGUAAACCGCUUUCAGCAGGGACGAAGCUUUUUGUGACGGUACCUGCAGAAGAAGCACCGGCUAACUACGUG
rnacentral:rRNA from 1 species